rnacentral:tRNA from 1 species
GCCUGACUGGCUCAGUCGGUAGAGCAUGCAACUCUUGAUUUUGGUGUUGUGAGUUCGAGCCCCAUGUUGGGUG